CAAGCCGCAAAGUUAACACAUUUAAUCGUGGCCUCGAAGAACACCAGGUUCUCGAUGGCAACGCCGGCAAUUGUUGAACAAAAUUACCUCGUACGUAAAGUCAGUACCGAUCAAAACAUUGUUUUUCGGUAACGGUUUCAGAUCGUAAAACGAGUCCCGCCACCGUAAAGUUCUGAUGCUGCUGUUUGCUGAUAUAUUGAUCACAAAUGGCAACCCGGAAUAACAAACUGCAAAAUAUUGCAGACUGGUGAUCGGAAAAGGUUCCAAGGAAGCCAAUGAGGAGCAAAACGCGGCAUACAAUGCAUUGACUCAACUGGCUAUCGCUUGUCCGACUGUGAAUAGCGAUCUCCAACUCGUUUCUUCCUAUUUUGAUCAUCUGUCACAGGAACCGGUCGAAUUACAUACCCUGAUAAGAGACGCCUAGAUAUAGCAUCAUCAAUAUCAUCAAACAAUGCCCAUCGAUCGAUGCUUCAAUCGGACUCUAUCAAAACGUUAGUAUAAUAAGUUCUACCAUUAAACUGCUGCAUAGCUCGGAACCAUCUCCUGAAGGCACCGAGGAAAUGGAGACUAAUCAUGGUGAUGUAAACACGAAAGCUAUGUCCCUCAUAGCACUUCUGCAGUGAUCACGCCAAAGCUACAAUCCGAGAGGAUGUCACUCAUUGAUUGGGCUAUCUGGUUAUUAUUGAUGAGAAUUUUUUUGCUAAAUGCUACUUGAGGUUCUUCUGGUUCUGUUGAAGAUGACCAAGAAUGUGCACUGCAUAUUGCCAUGGUUUAAAUUAUUCAAUCGUGUGGAGAGUGAC